AUGAACGCUGGCGGCGUGCCUAAUACAUGCAAGUCGAGCGAACAGACGAGGAGCUUGCUCCUCUGACGUUAGCGGCGGACGGGUGAGUAACACGUGGAUAACCUACCUAUAAGACUGGGAUAACUUCGGGAAACCGGAGCUAAUACCGGAUAAUAUAUUGAACCGCAUGGUUCAAUAGUGAAAGACGGUUUUGCUGUCACUUAUAGAUGGAUCCGCGCCGCAUUAGCUAGUUGGUAAGGUAACGGCUUACCAAGGCAACGAUGCGUAGCCGACCUGAGAGGGUGAUCGGCCACACUGGAACUGAGACACGGUCCAGACUCCUACGGGAGGCAGCAGUAGGGAAUCUUCCGCAAUGGGCGAAAGCCUGACGGAGCAACGCCGCGUGAGUGAUGAAGGUCUUCGGAUCGUAAAGCUCUGUUAUUAGGGAAGAACAAAUGUGUAAGUAACUAUGCACGUCUUGACGGUACCUAAUCAGAAAGCCACGGCUAACUACGUG
rnacentral:rRNA from 1 species